rnacentral:lncRNA from 1 species
GUAGUCUAAUUAUUUCUUUUUCUUUUUGCUGCUGCAGCGACCCUUGCAAAUGCAAGAGACAUGACAGGUAUGUUUCACUUCAGCUGCCUGCUCGACCCACAGACAGCUCUUCAAAAUGCCUUCACUCUUACAGGGCUGGAGCAUGGAUAUGCAGAUGAGGAGAACAUUCUGGAAGAUGGUGGAGCACCAUCAGAAAAGGAACCUGGGUCCCAGAAUGACCUCAAGGAGCUCCACCUUUCUUGUACCAUUAUCUACCAUGGGACUGUUAUUUAACAGAAACUUAAAUACGCUCUAUUUUAUUUAAUCCACUGUGUAUUUGGGUUACUGUAUAUCAGCUUAGCUUUUCCCUAACUAUAUAGGAUUGAUCUGAAGAUAAUGAAAGAAAGUAAGUGUUUUUUGAAAACAGACAGACCUAGAUUCCAAUACCAGCUUUCCCAUUAACUAACCAUCUACAGUCAGCUAGCCACCCUGGGUCUCAUUUCUUUUUCACAUGAAAAAAAGGAUAAAUAAUAAGAAAGUUUAAGGCUGGUAAAAGGAUUAUAAAUAAUGAACGUCAUACAGUGCUGGUACACAAAAGUGCUAAAAUUGCUACUUUUUUUUCUUUAAAGAGACAGGACCUUGCUCUGUCACACAGGAUGGAGUACAGUAUUGUUAUGGUUCACCGCAGCCUGGAACUCUUGGGUUCAAGGUGGGAACCUCAGGCUCUCAAGUGGCUGUAACUAUAGGCACGUGCCAGUAUGCUGGGCUAACUUUUAAAUUUUUCCUAGAGAGAGGGUCUCAUUAUGUUGCACAGGCUGAUCUUAAACUCCUGGCCUCAAGAGAUCUUCUGUCCCAGCCUCCUAAACUGCUGGGAUUACAAGGGUAAGCCAUCAUUCCUAGACUACUGCAAAUACCCAAGUGCCCUGUGGCAUCCAACUUGGAACCCUCUAUGUUAGAUUUCUUAGGCCCCAAUAGCCUAUGUAUAGUGACAUGGUUUGGAUCUGUGUCCCCACCCAAAUCUCAUGUCAAAUUGUAAUCCUCAAUGAUGUAUGGAGGUGGGCCUGGUGGGAGAUAAUUAGAUCAUGGGGGUGGAUUUCUCCUUGGGUACUGUCCUCAUGAUAGUGAGUGCCUUCUCAUGAAAUAUGGUUGUUUAAAAAUGUGUAGGACUUCUCCUCCUCUCUUUGUCCUGCUUCGGCCAUGUAAGAUGGGUCUGCUUCCCCUCCCCCUUCUGCCAUUAUUCUAAGUUUCCUCAGGCCUCCCCAGAAGAUAAGCAGAUGCAGGCAUCAUGCUUCCUGUACUGCCUUCAGAAUCAUAAGCCAAUUAAACCUCUUUUCUUUAUAAAUUACCCGGUCUCGGGUAUUUCUUUAUAGCAAUUUGAGACCAAACUAAUACAGAAAAUUGGUAAUGAGAGGCAGGGCAUUGCUAUAAAGAUAUUUGAAAAUGUGGAAUCAGCUUUGGAACUAGAUAACGGGCAGAAAUUCAAAGAGUGUGGAAGGAUCAGAAGAAGACAGGAAGACAAGGGAAACUUGGAACUUCCUAAAAACUUUUUAAAUUGUCACCAAAAUGCCAAGAGUGAUAUGGACAAAAAAGUGCAGGCUGAGGCGGUCUCAGAUGCAAAUGAGGAACUUAUUGGGAACUGGAGCAAAGGUUGCUUUUGUUAUGCAUUAGCAAAGAGGUUGGCUGCAUUGUGCCCCUGCUCUAGGGAUCUGUGGAACUUUGAACUUGAGAGUGAUGAUUUAGGGUAUCUGGUGGGAGAAAUUUCUAAGAAGCAAAGUGUUUAAGAUGUGGCCUGGCUGCUUAUAACAACCUACGCUCAUAUAUGUGAGCAAAGAAAUGACCCGAAUUGGAAGGGAGCAUAGAAGUGAGCAUAAAAUUUGGAAAAUUUGCAGCCUGGCCGUGUGGUGGAAAAGCAAAGCUCACUUUCAAGGGAGGAAUUCAAGCAGGCUAUAGAAAUUUGUAUAAAUAAAAAGGAGCCAAGUGAUAAUAUCCAAAAUGAUGAUGCAAAUGCCUUAAAAGCAUUACAGAAACCUUUGUGGCAGACCCUACCCUCACAGGCCUGGAGGCCUGAAUGGUUUCCUGGACCAGGAAACCUGCUGCCCUGUGCAGCCUUGGGACACUGCUGCCUGCAUUCUGGCCACUCCAACAGAAUGCAGAGCUGUAGCUAUGUCCUCAUGAUAGUGGGUAAGUUCUCAUGAGAUCUCAUUGUUUAAAAGUAUGUAGCACCUUUUGCUCCUGCUACAGCCAUGUAAGAUGAGCCUGCUUCCCCUUUACCUUCAGCCAUGAUUGUAAGUUUCCUCAGGCCUCCCCAGAAGUCAAGCAGAUAGCCAGCAUCAUGCUUCCUGUACAGCCCACAGAACUGUGAGCCAAUUAAACCUCUUUUCCUUAUUAAUUAUCCGGUCUCAGAUGUUUCUUCUUUUUUUAUUGUACUUUAAGUUCUGGAGGACAUGUACAGAUCUUGUAGGAUUGUUCCAUAGGUAUACACAUGCCAUGGUGAUUUGCUGCCUCCAUCCCCUCAUCACC